rnacentral:tRNA from 1 species
GCCGAAGUGGUGGAACUGGUAGACGCGCUGCGUUCAGGGCGCAGUGGGCGUUAGGCCCGUGGGGGUUCGACUCCCCCCUUCGGCACCA